UCUUCAGUAGCUCAGAGGUAGAGCAAAUGGCUGUUAACCAUUUGGACGUUGGUUCAAACCCAGCCUGGAGAG
rnacentral:tRNA from 1 species